GCCAGAGUAGCUCAGUUGGUAGAGCAGCGGUAUCGUAAACCGCAGGUCGCCGGUUCGAACCCGGCCUCUGGCU
rnacentral:tRNA from 1 species